rnacentral:rRNA from 1 species
GAACUUAAGCAUAUCAAUAAGCGGAGGAAAAGAAACCAACAGGGAUUGCCUCAGUAACUGCGAGUGAAGCGGCAAAAGCUCAAAUUUGAAAUCUGGCACCUUUGGGUGUCCGAGUUGUAAUUUGGAGAGGCAACUUCGAAGGAGGCGCUGGCCUAAGUUCCUUGGAACAGGACGUCACAGAGGGUGAGAAUCCCGUGCUUGGCUGGCUGUCCUUCUUCAUGUGAAGUGUCUUCGACGAGUCGAGUUGUUUGGGAAUGCAGCUCAAAAUGGGUGGUAAACUCCAUCUAAGGCUAAAUAUUGGCGAGAGACCGAUAGCGCACAAGUAGAGUGAUCGAAAGAUGAAAAGCACUUUGAAAAGAGAGUUAAAAAGUACGUGAAAUUGUUGAAAGGGAAGCGCUUGAGACCAGACUCGGUGAUUGGUGAUCAGCGGUUGCUUUUGCUCCGUGCACUUGCCUUUUACUGGGCCAGCAUCAGUUGUGACGGCGGGAUAAAGAUCUGGGGAAUGUGGCUCUCUUCGGGGAGUGUUAUAGCCCCAGGUGUAAUGCCGCCUGUUGCGACUGAGGACCGCGCUUCGGCUAGGAUGCUGGCAUAAUGGUCUUCAGCGACCCGUCUUGAAACACGGACCAAGGAGUCUAACAUCUAUGCGAGUGUUCGGGUGUAAAACCCCUACGCGGAAUGAAAGUGAACGGAGGUGGGAACUCCUUGGAGUGCACCAUCGACCGAUCCUGAUGUCUUCGGAUGGAUUUGAGUAGGAGCAUAGCUGUUGGGACCCGAAAGAUGGUGAACUAUGCCUGAAUAGGGUGAAGCCAGAGGAAACUCUGGUGGAGGCUCGCAGCGGUUCUGACGUGCAAAUCGAUCGUCAAAUUUGGGUAUAGGGGCGAAAGACUAAUCGAACCAUCUAGUAGCUGGUUCCUGCCGAAGUUUCCCUCA